rnacentral:rRNA from 1 species
AGUGAACGCUGGCGGUAGGCCUAACACAUGCAAGUCGAACGGCAGCACAGUAAGAGCUUGCUCUUACGGGUGGCGAGUGGCGGACGGGUGAGGAAUACAUCGGAAUCUACUUUUUCGUGGGGGAUAACGUAGGGAAACUUACGCUAAUACCGCAUACGACCUACGGGUGAAAGCAGGGGAUCUUCGGACCUUGCGCGAUUGAAUGAGCCGAUGUCGGAUUAGCUAGUUGGCGGGGUAAAGGCCCACCAAGGCGCCGAUCCGUAGCUGGUCUGAGAGGAUGAUCAGCCACACUGGAACUGAGACACGGUCCAGACUCCUACGGGAGGCAGCAGUGGGGAAUAUUAGACAAUGGGCGCAAGCCUGAUCAAGCCAUACCGCGUGGGUGAAGAAGGCCUUCGGGUUGUAAAGCCCUUUUGUUGGGAAAGAAAAGCAGCAGGUUAAUACCCCGCUGUUCUGACGGUACCCAAAGAAUAAGCACCGGCUAACUUCGUG